AUUGAACGCUGGCGGCAUGCUUUACACAUGCAAGUCGGACGAGUGGCGAACGUGUGAGUACUAUAUCUGAACGUACCGAGUAAUUGGGGAUACCUAAUCGAAAGAUUAGCUAAUACCGCACUUUAUGUGAGCGGCCGAUUUCUGAUGAGCUAGUUGGUGGGGUAAAGGCCUACCAAGGCGACGAUCAGUAGCGGGUCUUGGAGGAUGCCCCGCCACACUGGGACUGAGACACGGCCCAGAGUCCAACGGAGGGCAGCCGUGGGGAAUUUUGGACAAUGGGCGCAAUCCUGAUCCAGCCAUGCCGCGUGUCUGAAGAAGGCCUUCGGGUUGUAAAGGACUUUUGUCAGGAAAGCGGUACCUGAAGAAUAAGCACCGGCUAACUACGUGCCAGCAGCCGCGGUAAUUC
rnacentral:rRNA from 1 species